GUGAAUAGUACGUGAAUUUUUAUACCAGGUCGAAUAUAAGUAAUUUUAUUUUAAAUUGACUAAGAUUAAAAACUAAAACGAAGGACCGGAAAAGACCUGCUUUUUCAAGAUAAGCACGUUUCUCACAAUUCCUAUACAAGGUGAAGACCUAUAUUGGAAUAUGGCUCUGAUGUAUGGAACCCGAGUUACUAAAUCCAUUCUAACAGGUUAAGUCUACCUCCACACACUAGUCGUUCAAAACUUAUAAAUCUACCUACAAUGAACAAAAUCAUGUAUGGAAGGGUUUGCAGUUCUUUUCUCUUGUCUGAAGUUUAUACAUUUAAUAUCCCGGCUCUCUUUUCGAUGCAGUUAGACCUUUACUGUUAAAAUCAUAUAGACCAGAUUUUGAACUAAAUGAACGCUUAUGUCAUGAUUUUAAUUCUCAUUCCAGCACAUUUGAUUUAUCUG